GAGCAACUUUGUAUAGACAGCUGCUGUCUUAUAAAUACACACCAUUAGUUCUACUGUAAGGAUACUCUAGUUUGCAGUAUUUUGUUUGUGUAACUCAAACAUCAGUCCUCUUCUUUAAUCUUCUGUGAAUCUGUAUUUUCGUACAGGGGAAUGGUGAUGAAGACUCGUCCCCUGGUCAGACUGAUGCUCUAAUGCAGAUGACUCCUAAUGGGACAUCCCAUAAUAACACUGAGGAUGCCAAUGAGACACCACAGUAACAUUACUACUUUAUUUUUUUGAAGGGAAAAUUAAGACAAAAUGGGAAAUGAGAAGAUUAUCAGUUAAAAAAAUCACAUCACUCACAGAGGAAUUGUAAUGAUACCAAGAUUUCAGUAGUCAGUACCGAUACCAGUGAAGUUUUAUCAUGAUACCAAUUUCAACACAUCAAAAAAUUGCUAUAAAACAGUGAGUGAUUUCAUGUCAUUUGCACUGUGAGACCUAUUAAUGUACUGACCUGUUUGACAUAUCAGUAAUGUUUGUGUAUAUCUUUCUAAAGCACAAAUACCUCACCUGUUUAACUGCUCUCAAACUGUCGCACAAGUGCUCCACACAGAUCACGUGCACAAAUACACAAUGGAUGCUUGAAGCAGCUCUCAUUCUAGCACUGAAUCACAUUUGCACUACUGAUACUGUAGGUGCUGUUACUGGUAUUGUUGCUGUUACCGGAAAGCCUGGUAUCAUGUUGCAUAUGUAACUACCAGACUUUUCAAUUGAUGUAACCAGCGAACUGCCCUUGGUCAACCAGCUUCAUCAGAAAGAUCAUACGGACGGAGUGCAUGUAUCUGAAUGCUUGUUGUAUGUGGUGAUAUGUGGUGUUAUACAAGUAAAAAAUACUUUUAUGUGGUAGAAAUGUUGAAGUAGACAUAUGUGGACAUGCUUGACAAGCAUGUUAUUAUAAUCUUCAGAUGUGUUACUUAUUGUGUUCAUUGUUAAAUUGUGCAGAAAUGUUGUUCUUUGUACUUUGUGUAUGAAUCACAGUAACAUUCAGUCAUCUUGUAUUUAUGAGGAUAUAAUUAAUUUCUCUUGUUUUUAAGUUCUUUUAUUUGUUGUCAUUUCAUGCGAGGAGACAGACGAAGACCCUUAAGCCAUUAAAGAACAUCACUGUGUGACUGAGAUGAUCACCUUCAUUUGAAUUUUCUGUGAUGCCAGUCCUGGAUAGCUGCAGACUUGUCCUGUUUGCUUUGGAUUAUGAGAUCGGUUCCCGUUCAAAAAGCUUACCUCUUUACAUCAUACAUCAGCAGAGCUGAACACUGAACCAUGAUCUUCACCGUUACAAGAACAAUUUGACAGUUGUCGGGUCGUGGAAUAACUGAGAAGUGACGUACUGUAAUCUGGUGAAUGUCCACAUUUGUCGAUGUCUGUCGGUGAGGAGUGACUGAUUCUAAAACAGCAAAAAAAAAAAAACCUGUGCCUUGCACUCUGAGUAAAAUAUCUGAAGACGUUUUAUUUACAAAGCUCUGCUUUAUUGAAACCUACUUCAGGUGGGUGCCAUUUUAUUUCUGUAAAUCCUUUUCUCCUGUUUUUGUGUAGUUAGGGAGUUAGUGUACAUUUCUGUUGUUCAUUUUGUUUUCUUUUGUCAGUUUAGACCGUUUUGGUCCCUAAUUAGACAGAGGGUCCUUUUGUUUGUUGUUUUGGCCUUUCCCCCUCCUGAAGUCCAUUUUUGCUUCCUAAUUUAUUACUUUGUCAUUUAUGCUUUUGUUAAUAAAAUAUUUG